CUGGGCGUGGUUGCUCAUGCUUGUAAUCUCAGCAUUUUGGGAGACUGAGGCAGGGGUACUGCUUGAGCCCAGGAGUUCAAGACCAGCCUGGAAAACAUGGAGAAACCCUAUCUUUACCAAACAUACAAAAAUUAGUUGGGUGUGGGAGUACAUGCCUGUGAUCCCAGCUACUCAGGAAGCUGAGGUGGGAGGAGCACUUGAGCCCAGGAGGUUGAGGCUUCUGGAAGGUUGAGGAUGCUGUAAAGUUAAGGCUGCUGUGAGCCAAGAUCACAUCGCUGUACUCCAGCCUGGAUGACACAAUGAGGACUGCCUGAAAAAAAAGAAAAAAAAUCUGAAGUAAAGUAUCCAGAUGCAGAAGUCUUACUUCCUGCUUUUCUAUGACAUCAUCCUUCAGAAGGCG
rnacentral:lncRNA from 1 species